rnacentral:rRNA from 1 species
UUGCUUUCUCGAGCGAGUGGCGAACGGGUGAGUAACGCGUGAGGAACCUGCCUCAAAGAGGGGGACAACAGCUGGAAACGGCUGCUAAUACCGCAUAACAUGAUUUAGCCGCAUGACUGGAUCAUCAAAGAUUUAUCGCUGAAAGAUGGGCUCGCGUCUGAUUAGCUAGUUGGUGGGGUAAAGGCCCACCAAGGCGACGAUCAGUAGCCGGACUGAGAGGUUGAACGGCCACAUUGGGACUGAGAUACGGCCCAGACUCC